rnacentral:rRNA from 1 species
UCUGGCGUGCUCAGUGCGUCCGAGUUGUAAUCUAUAGAGGCGUUUUCCGUGCCGGACUGGGUCCAAGUCCCUUGGAACAGGGUAUCAAAGAGGGUGAUAAUCCCGUACUUGACACAAUGACCGGUGCUCUGUGAUACGUCUUCUACGAGUCGAGUUGUUUGGGAAUGCAGCUCAAAAUGGGUGGUGAGUUCCAUCUAAAGCUAAAUAUUGGCGAGAGACCGAUAGCGAACAAGUACCGUGAGGGAAAGAUGAAAAGCACUUUGGAAAGAGAGUUAAACAGUACGUGAAAUUGUUAAAAGGGAAACGAUUGAAGUCAGUCGUGACUGAGAGGCUCAGCCGGUUCUGCCGGUGUAUUCCCCUCAGUCGGGUCAACAUCAGUUUUGUUCGGUGGAUAAGGGCAGUUGGAAGGUGGCACCCUCGGGUGUGUUAUAGCCAGCUGUCGCAUACAUCGGAUGAGACUGAGGAAUGCAGCUCGCCUUUAUGGCCGGGGUUCGCCCACGUUCGAGCUUAGGAUGUUGACAUAAUGGCUUUAAACGACCCGUCUUGAAACACG